UACGAAGGGGGCUAGCGUUGCUCGGAAUGACUGGGCGUAAAGGGCGCGUAGGCGGCUUGCACAGUCAGGCGUGAAAUUCCUGGGCUCAACCUGGGGACUGCGCUUGAUACGUAUGGACUUGAGUGGGGAAGAGGGUCGUGGAAUUCCCAGUGUAGAGGUGAAAUUCGUAGAUAUUGGGAAGAACACCGGUGGCGAAGGCGGCGACCUGGUCCUUGACUGACGCUGAGGCGCGAAAGCGUGGGGAGCAAACAGG
rnacentral:rRNA from 1 species